rnacentral:misc_RNA from 1 species
AAACCAAUCCAGCUUGCUGGGUCUUGGGCUCUCGCCUCCGGGCGGGCCUUAAAAUCAGUGGCGGUGCCACCCGGCUCUAAGCGUAGUAAUUCUUCUCGCUAUAGGGUCCCGGGUGGAGGCUUGCCAACCAACCCCCAAUUUUCAAA